UUGCACCUACGGGACGCAGCAGUAGGGAAUCUUCCACAAUGGACGAAAGUCUGAUGGAGCAACGCCGCGUGAGUGAAGAAGGGUUUCGGCUCGGAAAGCUCUGUUGGUAGUGAAGAAAGAUAGAGGUAGUAACUGGCCUUUAUUUGACGGUAACUACUUAGAAAGUCACGGCUAACUACGUGCCAGCAGCCGCGGUAAUACGUAGGUGGCAAGCGUUAUCCGGAUUUACUGGGUGUAAAGGGAGCGUAGACGGCUGUGCAAGUCUGAAGUGAAAUGCCGGGGCUCAACCCCGGAACUGCUUUGGG
rnacentral:rRNA from 1 species